CACUUGUCUGCAUUUACCCCAGCAGUGCAUUAGAACAGCGUUUGUUCCUCAUCUGAACCCGUAAAAUGCACUGUCAGGCUCUGGAUGCUUGCCAAUAUGACAGACUAAAACUCCCAGAACUGACAGAAACUUCAGGGCUCAUGAAGGCUGUGAUUCCACAGAACCAUCCUCAUGCUCCUUCAGUGUGUGUGUGUGGCUGCCUGGAAGAACAGGGUCCCGCCACUGCAAGCAGACCUUGCUCCUUGGGGAUAAGCUACGUUUAAGCCCUCCUUGAUACAAAAACCCUGCUGGGGUUGUUACCUGCAGUGUCCCACGAAAAGGCACAUUGUGGUAAAGGAUUGGUUGCUGAUGGGCUGUGGACAAGCAAGUGGAUCACGAGGACUCUGACUUCAUCAUGAGAGUCUAAUUUGAUAGCAUUAUUGAGAGGUGUUGGAAAUGGGAGGUGGGGCUUAGCUGAAGGCUGUACAUCAUGGGGCUCAUCAGGGUACGAGCUUCAUGGCUAUGUCCGGUCCCUGGCCCCUUCCUGUCUAGCUGUUUCCCUUGUUCUCUUCUUCCCAGGCCAAGAGAUGAACCGCUGUGGUCCACCACAUGCUGCUGCCAUGAUGUUCUGCCUCACCUCAAGCCGCCAGCAUUGGAACCACCUGACCAUGCACAGAAACCUCUAAACCUUGAGCCAGAAUACACCUUUCCUCCUUUAAAUUGCUUUUCUCAGAUAUUUGGUCACAGUGAAAAAGAACUGACCAACAAAAAGCCCUUCAGGCUUGAGAAUGAAACCCAGGGGCUCAUACCUGGCAAGCAAGCACUUACCACCACGCUACUCUCCCCCUUUUGGGGUGGCUCACCGUCUUCCUGAGAACUCUGCUUUUGGAACGCACUGGCAAAUUUGCCGUCUGAGUGCAUCAUCUCAGCUGAGAGAAAGCUGACUAAUUUCUCCAGAAAGAUGCAGUGUACAGACUUUCAUGUAUCUGGUAAAAUGCAGAGUUGGUGUUUUAUUAAAAGAAAUCUUUUCUGAAGGCACAUCUAAGCAUGAAGGAAGGGAAGCUGGAGGAGAAGUCAGCAAACUCAGCCUUCAGCGCUGGCUCUGCCUACUCUCCAGGUUCGCUCCCAGAGACAAAUGGGUAAAGGCGACUCCACCUGGUGACAGCAGUCCGUGUACCAGCACUUCACAAACUCUUCCUUGGAAAGACACAAAGGCCAUGUCUGAGAGAAAGCUGUCAGGCCAUAGUCAUCCAGCACUGUAUGCUGCUUACAAUCAUUUUCUGACAAAAGGAAAUCAAAUGUCUGGAAGAAGACUUCUUGUUCCAAUUUACCCCAAAACUUCAUAUGUACCCAAAGCCUUCUUCAUCUUAGUAAAAAGAUGUGUUAUUAACUCCAUUUUCCAGAGGAAAUUUUCACUCAUUAAUUGCUUACUCAAAGUGAAACAGUGUAACUGGCAGAGGUGGAAUUUCAAUCCAGCAGGUUCUAGUCCUGAGCCCUGGG